rnacentral:piRNA from 1 species
UCCCGAAUCAAGGACUUUGAUUGUUCCC